rnacentral:lncRNA from 1 species
CACCAUCCCCUACCAAUUCGUCUUCUUCCUUCCACCCACAUCUUUCUCCCCUCGCCCCCUCCUUAUUUUUUCUUCUUGAACAGAUAAUCAAAUAAAGACCCACAUAGCAGUUCGUCUUCCUAUCCCUUUUUAUACUUAACUCUAAAUUCCACAAAAGACCCAUCAAAAGGUUCAUUCCAGCAACCUUCUUUCUCUCCCUUCAUCUCCUUGUGCUAAGUUUGAGAGCUCAUCUGUUUCAAUAGUGGCAAAGUUGGCACUUAGUAGCUAUAGUAUUGAUAACCAUAUCGACAGCUCCAACGACCUCUAUCUCUCCAUCUUUUCAUCUUUAGUUUUCUCUCUCUUAUUUUACUGAUUCAGAAGUUGGGUUUUAAUGUAUAUUCUUUCUGGAGUAGUUUAAAUUUUUGAAUAAUUUUUUCUUGAAUUGGUGUCCAGUUGAUUUGAUUCAGAUGUUGGGUUCUAAUGUAUAUUCUUUCUGGACUAUUUUAAAUUUUUGAGUAAUUUUUUCUUGUAGGAUGUUUAUGAGGUUGUGUGCAUGUUUGGUUUGGAGCCACGGGGCUCGGGUGAGUUUUGGAUAGAUAUCGGCCAUAAGAUAAGGGUUCGCAAAUGCGAACCUCAACUCCGCAAUUUCCAAGCCUGUGUUUUUGUGACUAGAUUCGAACGGGUUUGAGGUGAAUUUGAAGCGCAAAGCUAUUCUAGAGGCGUGAGUUGAGUUUGGAGAUUUCGAGGUAAGUACUUGAUCUAACUUUGGCUUGAGGAAAUAUGAUUAGAGUGUUUUGAUUGCUAUUUGAUAAAUGAUCGAGUAUGGUGUAUAGGCAUGGUGACGAGUAUCUAUACAUUGGUGUCCAGCAUGACCGUGAAUUAUAAUUGCUUUUAAUUCAAAAGAUAUGGCACAAUUGUCUUGUUAAAUUGAUAAUUUCCAUGUAAAGUGUUAGAUAAGAAGGAAAUGAGCUAAAAGAGGAUGUGCUGAAAUGAUUUCCUUGCCGGGACGAGUAUACUAUUACUUUUGUAUUUCUCCCUUGUCGGGAGGUUUGGGUUGUUAGUUGUACCCUUACCGAGUUUAUUUGUUAUGUUGUUGAAUUUCCCAAAUGGGAUCUCCCUUGAAGAGAUUAUUUGUGCUAUUAGUUAUUAUAUGGGAUCGUAUGGCACGUCGUACACCUAUGAAAUAUGAAUUGGGAUCGUGGCACGCCGACCACUUAUAAACUAUAAUAUGAGAUCGUGUGGCACGACAUCCACCUAUGAAUAUGAAUUAGGAUCGUGUGGCACACCGACCACUUAUGAAUUAUAAUAUGGGAGCGUGUGGCACGCCGACCACUUAUGAAUUAAAAUAUGGGAUCGUGUUGCACGCCGUCCACUACUUUGCACUGAUAAAUGGGAUCGUGUCCCGCGCUGACACUUAUAUAUAUAUAUAUAUAUAUAUAUAUAUUGAGAUGGUUACAUUGUUAUAUCUGUGGAUUGUUCUUUACUGUAUCUCCCCAAGCAUGUCCUUUUCCCUUUUACUGUUGAUAUUUCUUUGUUGUUAUUUCCGCUGUCUUGUCCAUAUAUAUAUCUGCACAGGUUAAUUUUGGUAGGUCUUGUCUAGCCUCGUCACUACUUCGCUGGAGUUAGGCCAGGCACUUACCAGCACAUGGAGUCGAUUUUGCUGAUGCUACACUUCUGUGCUUUCUUACGCAGAUUACAAUACCGGAGCAGCUUUUGGACCACAAUAGUAGCCUAUUCGAUCGAGAGCUGACUUCAGUCCAGGGACUUCGAGGUAACCUAGCUAGCGUUCGCAGGCCGGAGUCCUUUAUCUAUGUUUAGUUUGUUUUCUUUGUACUAAGACAAACAUUUUGUAUUUCCGUUCAGACUUAUUUGUAAUACUCUUUAGUAGUCCGUGAGCUAAUGACACCAGAUUUGGGCAGAGAUAUGUUUUAAACUUCCGCAUUAUGAUUUCAUUUUUAUUAAAAGUUUUU